rnacentral:tRNA from 2 species
GAUAAGAUGGCUGAUAAUAGGCGGUAGAUUGUAAAUCUACUUAUGAGAAAUUCUCUCUUAUCA